rnacentral:rRNA from 1 species
UGCGCAGGCGGGGAUGUAAGUCAGUGGUGAAAUACUGCCGCUCAACGGUAGAACUGCCAUUGAUACUGCAUCUCUUGAGUAUGGUUGAGGUAGGCGGAAUGUGUUGUGUAGCGGUGAAAUGCAUAGAUAUGAAACAGAACGCCAAUUGCGAAGGCAGCUUACUAAGCCAUUACUGACGCUGAGGCACGAAAGCGUGGGGAGCGAACAGGAUUAGAUACCCUGGUAGUCA